rnacentral:rRNA from 1 species
GCCAAAGACCUAGUUUUUUUCCCCAUACCAACACCGAGCCCCCCCCCAACCAAAACAUUUGACAUGACAAGUAGAUGAGAUCAAACGCCAACGAAAACACAACAGAAAUAGUACCGCAAGGGAAAGGUGAAAUAUCCCAAUUACUAAGCCAAAAAAAGCAAAGACCAGACCUUGUACCUUUCGCAUCAUGGUUUAGCAAGACCUUCCCGGCAAGACGCCUCCAAAGUCCGGGAUCCCGAAACCAAGUGAGCUACCCUCGAGCAGGUAAAUUGAGCCCAUCCCCCUCUGUAGCAAAAGAGCGGAGAGACUUGCGGGUAGUAGUGAAAAGCCUAUCGAACUUGGCAAUAGCUGGUUGCUCAACAAAGAAUUUAAGUUCAACCUUAGCCACAUCCCCAUUCUUCAAAAAACCACUAAGGAAACUCAUUAGAGGAACAGCCCUAAUGAAACGGGAUACAACCCGCACCUGAAAGAACAACCCGCCCACCACACCAGUAGGCCUUAAAGCAGCCCCCCCAAAAAAUAGCGUCAAAGCAUGCACCGCUCCAAUCUCAAAAAGCUUCCAAAUCUUCAGAAUAACCACUGAGCAAAUCUAUUACCAUAGAAAAACCAAUGCUAAAACUACUAACAAGAACCACUUCUCAAGACAUACCCCCCAGUCAACAGAAAACCACCCCGACAGUUAUCAGACCGCGGGACACCCAAUUUCCCCCUCCCCAACCCACUGUGACCCCAACACAGGCAUGUCCAACCAAAAUGAAAGAUGAAAAGCAAGAAAAGGAACUCGGCAACCACUGACUUCAACUGUUUACCAAAAACAUAGCCUUUAGCCAAACAAGUAUUAGAGGUGACGCCUGCCCAGUGAAACACACUUCAACGGCCGCGGUACCCUAACCGUGCAAAGGUAGCAUAAUCACUUGUCCACUAAUUAUGGACUGGAAUGAAAGGCUGCAUGAAAGUCACACUGUCUCUUCUAGCCCAUCAGUGAAACUGAUCUUACAGUCCAAAAGCUGUAAUAAAACUAUAAGACGAGAAGACCCUGUGAAACUUCAAGGACCCCCCCACCCACCAACACCCUAGGGGGUACUUUCGGUUGGGGCAACCUUGGAACCAAACAAAACUUCCAAACACACAGCCCAACAGGCUAACAACCAGGCCAACACGCCUAACCCACACGACCCAGUAAAACUGACAAAUGAACCAAGCUACUCCAGGGAUAACAGCGCCAUCUUCUUCAAGAGCCCAUAUCAAAAAGAAGGUUUACGACCUCGAUGUUGGAUCAGGGCACCCAAGUGGCGCAGCCACUGCUAAAGGUUCGUUUGUUCAACGAUUAACAGC